rnacentral:rRNA from 1 species
GAUGAACGCUGGCGGCGUGCCUAAUACAUGCAAGUCGAGCGAACAGACGAGGAGCUUGCUCCUCUGACGUUAGCGGCGGACGGGUGAGUAACACGUGGAUAACCUACCUAUAAGACUGGGAUAACUUCGGGAAACCGGAGCUAAUACCGGAUAAUAUAUUGAACCGCAGGGUUCAAUAGUGAAAGACGGUUUUGCUGUCACUUAUAGAUGGAUCCGCGCCGCAUUAGCUAGUUGGUAAGGUAACGGCUUACCAAGGCGACGAUGCGUAGCCGACCUGAGAGGGUGAUCGGCCACACUGGAACUGAGACACGGUCCAGACUCCUACGGGAGGCAGCAGUAGGGAAUCUUCCGCAAAGGGCGAAAGCCUGACGGAGCAACGCCGCGUGAGUGAUGAAGGUCUUCGGAUCGUAAAACUCUGUUAUUAGGGAAGAACAAAUGUGUAAGUAACUAUGCACGUCUUGACGGUACCUAAUCAGAAAGCCACGGCUAACUACGUG